GGGUGAGUAACACGUGGAUAACCUACCUAUAAGACUGGGAUAACUUCGGGAAACCGGAGCUAAUACCGGAUAAUAUUUUGAACCGCAUGGUUCAAAAGUGAAAGACGGUCUUGCUGUCACUUAUAGAUGGAUCCGCGCUGCAUUAGCUAGUUUGGUAAGGUAACGGCUUACCAAGGCAACGAUGCAUAGCCGACCUGAGAGGGUGAUCGGCCACACUGGAACUGAGACACGGUCCAG
rnacentral:rRNA from 1 species